GCACUGUUGAAGAGUCCCAGACUAGGACGAAACAACUGUACAGUGC
rnacentral:hammerhead_ribozyme from 1 species